UACGCUGAUAUGUUGAUAAUUUUACUAAUGCACUUGACAGAACGAUAAAGUUUAUUCUCAAGCUAUAUUUUAUAUACCAUAGUAGUGUUUAAGUAUUGGUUUCACUGAAUCUUCUAUCAAGUUACUGACGUGUUCCAAAGUGGCGGCACACAGAACCCAAAUGUAAACACGUUCUUUUGAAUUGUGCCAAAUGCAGAUAACAAUGAUUUUUCUUUAUCUGUUCAGUUUUUUUAAUAGUUUGACAUUUGUUUUUGAACAGGUAAAAAAUUUAGGUAGGAACCUAACCUGUAACUUAUCGAUUUUCUACAUUUCCGACAGUGACCUAAAGUGUUGACAUUUCAAAGGCUUGUGUUAUAACAAUUAGGAUGUCAGUGUUACACAGCUGAAUAUACAUGUAUACAUUGCCAAGUAGCUUGAAGAACAUGAAAGGGACAAGGAUUAAUCAUUUUGCCAUUCCUUGGCAAUUAUGACAGAAGCUCAAGCAGCUAUCAUGAAGCCAUAAAUAAAGUUAUUUAAUCCUUUUAAAACUGAAAACAUUCUUUUAAAACUUGGUUACAGUUCUUUCUAAUGAAUAAAAUACAUUAACAGAUUCAUGUAACAUCAUUAAAUGUGAAAGUUUUUAAAUGAAGUUUGGCUGUGAAAUCACCACUAUGACACUUACAAAAAUAAAUUCAAAUAAAAAUAUAGACUGGUACAGGACUAACUGGUAUCAGUGAUAUAAAUUUCUGAUCCCAGGUAAAUUAAUAAAAUUAUAUUAAUUGUUUAUAUUGAUCCUGAUUUUAAAAGGAGUAGUGUGUCCUGUGGCUAUACAGGUAACUGUAUGUUAUGAUCAAGAAGUGUAAAAUAAUUGCCAUAUCAAUGUGUUGCUAAAGUAAAAAUAAUUUUUGCCACAAAUAUACAUGUAUAUUUGCAUCAGCUUUAAU